rnacentral:lncRNA from 1 species
UAGUGCGUGUGUAUAUAUAUAAUUAAUUUUAUUAAACAAAUUCUUCCAUUAUUUUAUUUCCCUUCUAUUUAUUUUUUAAAAUUAUUUUGAUAUAUUUAUCAUAAAUCUUUUUUUGCAUAAAUCUUUAUAAAAUAAGUUGUCGUUUUAAUAAAUUUUAUUUAAAUAAAAUUAACUAUUAAAUUAUUUUUAUAUAAUUUUUAUUUAAUUAAUAAUUAGAUUUAUAAAAUUAUUUAAAAAUAUAAAAAACUAAAAUUUAUUAAAAAAUAUUUUUAAAUUCCCAGCAUCGCGCGGGUAU